UCCAGACUCCUACGGGAGGCAGCAGUGGGGAAUAUUGCACAAUGGGGGGAACCCUGAUGCAGCGACGCCGCGUGAGUGAAGAAGUAUUUCGGUAUGUAAAGCUCUAUCAGCAGGGAAGAAGAUGACGGUACCUGACUAAGAAGCCCCGGCUAACUACGUGCCAGCAGCCGCGGUAAUACGUAGGGGGCAAGCGUUAUCCGGAUUUACUGGGUGUAAAGGGAGCGUAGACGGCAGGGCAAGUCUGGAGUGAAAGCCCGGGGCCCAACCCCGGGACUGCUUUGGAAACUGCCAUGCUGGAGUGCUGGAGAGGUAAGCGGAAUUCCUAGUGUAGCGGUGAAAUGCGUAGAUAUUAGGAGGAACACCAGUGGCGAAGGCGGCUUACUGGACAGUAACUGACGUUGAGGCUCGAAAGCGUGGGGAGCAAACAGGAUUAGAUACCCUUGUACG
rnacentral:rRNA from 1 species